GCCAAGAUAGCUCAGUAGGUAGAGCACGUGUCUGAAAAACACGGGGUCCCCAGUUCGAUCCUGGGUCUUGGCA
rfam:Candidate division WS6 bacterium 34_10 MPI_scaffold_8219, whole genome shotgun sequence.